UACGUAGGCAGCGAGCGUUGUUCGGAAUUACUGGGCGUAAAGGGUUCGUAGGUGGCCAACUAAGUCAGACGUGAAAUCCCUCGGCUUAACCGGGGAACUGCAUCUGAUACUGGAUGGCUUGAGUUCGGGAGAGGGAUGCGGAAUUCCAGGUGUAGCGGUGAAAUGCGUAGAUAUCUGGAGGAACACCGGUGGCGAAGGCGGCAUCCUGGACCGACACUGACGCUGAGGAGCGAAAGCUAGGGAGCAAACGGG
rnacentral:rRNA from 1 species